UACGUAGGGUGCGAGCGUUGUCCGGAAUUAUUGGGCGUAAAGGGCUCGUAGGCGGUCUGUCGCGUCGGGAGUGAAAACUCAGGGCUUAACCCUGAGCCUGCUUCCGAUACGGGCAGACUAGAGGUAUGCAGGGGAGAACGGAAUUCCUGGUGUAGCGGUGAAAUGCGCAGAUAUCAGGAGGAACACCGGUGGCGAAGGCGGUUCUCUGGGCCGUAACUGACGCUGAGGAGCGAAAGCGUGGGGAGCGAACAGG
rnacentral:rRNA from 1 species